rnacentral:rRNA from 1 species
AGUGAACGCUGGCGGUAGGCCUAACACAUGCAAGUCGAACGGCAGCACAGUAAGAGCUUGCUCUUACGGGUGGCGAGUGGCGUACGGGUGAGGAAUACAUCGGAAUCUACUUUUUCGUGGGGGAUAACGAAGGGAAACUUACGCUAAUACCGCAUACGACCUACGGGUGAAAGCAGGGGAUCUUCGGACCUUUCGCGAUUGAAUGAGCCGAUGUCGGAUUAGCUAUUUGGCGGGGUCAAGGCACACCAAGGCGACGAUCGGUUGCUGGUCUGAGAGGAUGAGCAGCGCAACUGGAACUGAGACACGGUCCAGCCUCCUACGGGAGGAAGCAGUGGGGAAUAUUGGACAAUUGGAGCAAGCCUGAUACAGCCAUACCGCGUGGGUGCAGAAGGCAUUCGGGUUGUAAAGCCCUUUUCUUGGGAAAGAAAAGCAGCAGGUUAAUACACCGCUGUUCUGACGGUACUCAAAGAAUAAGCACCGGCUAACUUCGUG